ACAACGAAGAGUUUGAUCCUGGCUCAGGAUGAACGCUAGCGACAGGCUUAACACAUGCAAGUCGAGGGGCAGCACAGGUAGCAAUACCGGGUGGCGACCGGCGCACGGGUGAGUAACGCGUAUGCAACUUACCUAUCAGAGGGGGAUAACCCGGCGAAAGUCGGACUAAUACCGCAUGAAGCAGGGGCCCCGCAUGGGGAUAUUUGCUAAAGAUUCAUCGCUGAUAGAUAGGCAUGCGUUCCAUUAGGCAGUUGGCGGGGUAACGGCCCACCAAACCGACGAUGGAUAGGGGUUCUGAGAGGAAGGUCCCCCACAUUGGUACUGAGACACGGACCAAACUCCUACGGGAGGCAGCAGUGAGGAAUAUUGGUCAAUGGCCGAGAGGCUGAACCAGCCAAGUCGCGUGAGGGAUGAAGGUUCUAUGGAUCGUAAACCUCUUUUAUAAGGGAAUAAAGUGCGGGACGUGUCCCGUUUUGUAUGUACCUUAUGAAUAAGGAUCGGCUAACUCCGUGCCAGCAGCCGCGGUAAUACGGAGGAUCCGAGCGUUAUCCGGAUUUAUUGGGUUUAAAGGGUGCGUAGGCGGCCUUUUAAGUCAGCGGUGAAAGUCUGUGGCUCAACCAUAGAAUUGCCGUUGAAACUGGGGGGCUUGAGUAUGUUUGAGGCAGGCGGAAUGCGUGGUGUAGCGGUGAAAUGCAUAGAUAUCACGCAGAACCCCGAUUGCGAAGGCAGCCUGCCAAGCCAUGACUGACGCUGAUGCACGAAAGCGUGGGGAUCAAACAGGAUUAGAUACCCUGGUAGUCCACGCAGUAAACGAUGAUCACUAGCUGUUUGCGAUACACUGUAAGCGGCACAGCGAAAGCGUUAAGUGAUCCACCUGGGGAGUACGCCGGCAACGGUGAAACUCAAAGGAAUUGACGGGGGCCCGCACAAGCGGAGGAACAUGUGGUUUAAUUCGAUGAUACGCGAGGAACCUUACCCGGGUUUGAACGCAUUCGGACCGAGGUGGAAACACCUUUUCUAGCAAUAGCCGUUUGCGAGGUGCUGCAUGGUUGUCGUCAGCUCGUGCCGUGAGGUGUCGGCUUAAGUGCCAUAACGAGCGCAACCCUUGCCACUAGUUACUAACAGGUAAAGCUGAGGACUCUGGUGGGACUGCCAGCGUAAGCUGCGAGGAAGGCGGGGAUGACGUCAAAUCAGCACGGCCCUUACAUCCGGGGCGACACACGUGUUACAAUGGCGUGGACAAAGGGAGGCCACCUGGUGACAGGGAGCGAAUCCCCAAACCACGUCUCAGUUCGGAUCGGAGUCUGCAACCCGACUCCGUGAAGCUGGAUUCGCUAGUAAUCGCGCAUCAGCCAUGGCGCGGUGAAUACGUUCCCGGGCCUUGUACACACCGCCCGUCAAGCCAUGGGAGCCGGGGGUACCUGAAGUCCGUAACCGAAAGGAUCGGCCUAGGGUAAAACUGGUGACUGGGGCUAAGUCGUAACAAGGUAGCCGUACCGGAAGGUGCGGCUGGAACACCUCCUUU
rnacentral:rRNA from 1 species